GAUGAACGCUGGCGGCAUGCCUAACACAUGCAAGUCGAACGGACUCUUAUAUUAGAAAAUCUCUACAUGCUUAGAGGUUCCCUAAUAUCAGAGUUAGUGGCGGACGGGUGAGUAACACGUUAGUACCUGCCCUUCAGUGGGGAAUAACUCGGCGAAAGUCGAGCUAAUACCGCAUAGGCUCGUUUACGAGUAAAGACUUCGGUCGCUGAAGGAGGGGCUUGCGUCUGAUUAGCUAGUUGGUGGGGUAAAGGCCCACCAAGGCGACGAUCAGUAGCUGGUUCGAGAGGAUGACCAGCCACACUGGGACUGAGAUACGGCCCAGACUCCUACGGGAGGCAGCAGUGAGGAAUCUUCCGCAAUGGGCGAAAGCCUGACGGAGCAAUGCCGCGUGCAGGAUGACGGCCUCGGUGUAACUGCUUUAUAUGGAGAGUAUGACGGUACCAUAUGAAUAAGGAACCGGCGUAACUAACGUGCCAGCAGCCGCGGUAAC
rnacentral:rRNA from 1 species